GACGUAGGAUGCAAGCGUUGCCCGGAAUUACUGGGCGUAAAGAGCUCGUAGGCGGGGGCGUGCGUCUGAAAGGAAAUCUCAAGGCUCAACCUUGGGGCUUUUUCAGAUACGGCGCUUCUUGAGGGUGAGAGAGGAAAGCGGAAUUCCAGGUGUAGCGGUGAAAUGCGUAGAUAUCUGGAGGAACACCAGCGGCGAAGGCGGCUUUCUGGCUCAUUCCUGACGCUGAGGAGCGAAAGCGUGGGUAGCGAACGGG
rnacentral:rRNA from 1 species